CAGCUGUUGGCCUGUACCUCGGCCCUCAAGUUUCCCAUGCAAUGUGCUUCCUACUAUUCAUUGUUGCCCCGUCUCUAGAAAAUAUGACACAAAUUGUGAAAAUGGUAUACAGCAGCUCAGCUUUGGGAAACGUGAGUCCUGUCUGCUUAUGGAUGUAUCGAUUCAUGGGUAUUACACUUGUCUCCCAAGUUGCUUGCUGAUGCUUUCAAGGUCAGGUAAUAACAUUCUCCAAGGAACUAAGCGGAGUGGCUGUCCUCAUUUCUCCCCUGACCUGCAGGCUGGCUGGCUGGUUGCCUUGCUUCUGGGAGAUGGCCAGGCAGCCUGUUGCUCCCUGUGCCCCUCACCGACCAGGCAGCUCACUCCCUUUGUGGCAGCCUCAUGUCAAAACCCAUCAGAAUAAGAGACUAUUAAUGAGGAUGGGAAGAGACAGAGAAAAGAGGGAAACACCACAGUAAGAUAAAAACAGAUCAAUAGUGAAGCUAAACAGAGCAAGAGGUUCUGAAAGCAAUUCAGGAGCUGUUAGCUUCUCAACAAACACAGGGUUUCUGAUAAUCUCAGAUGGACACAAAAAGGAGAGAGAUGGACAAAAAGCCAGAGAAGCACAUCAAUGGAAAGCAAUAAGGAGG
rnacentral:lncRNA from 1 species